rnacentral:rRNA from 1 species
UGGCGAACGGGUGAGUAACACGUGAGUAACCUGCCUUACACAAGGGGAUAGCCUUUGGAAACGAAGAAUAAUACCCUAUAAAGUCAACCAAUCGCAUGAUAAGGUAGACCAAAGAUUUAUCGGUGUAAGAUGGACUUGCGCCUGAUUAGCUAGUUGGUGAGAUAAAAGCCCACCAAGGCAACGAUCAGUAGCCGGCUUGAGAGAGUGUACGGCCACAUUGGGACUGAGACACGGCCCAA